CCUACGGGUGGCAGCAGUAGGGAAUAUUGCUCAAUGGGGGAAACCCUGAAGCAGCAACGCCGCGUGGAGGAUGAAGGUUUUCGGAUUGUAAACUCCUUUUGUUAGAGAAGAUAAUGACGGUAUCUAACGAAUAAGCACCGGCUAACUCUGUGCCAGCAGCCGCGGUAAUACGGAGGGUGCAAGCGUUACUCGGAAUCACUGGGCGUAAAGAGCGCGUAGGCGGGAUAGCAAGUCAGAUGUGAAAUCCUGUGGCUUAACCAUAGAACUGCAUUUGAAACUGUUAGUCUAGAGUAGGGGAGAGGUAGGUGGAAUUCUUGGUGUAGGGGUAAAAUGCGUAGAGAUCAAGAGGAAUACUCAUUGCGAAGGCGACCUGCUAGAACAUAACUGACGCUGAUGCGCGAAAGCGUGGGGAGCAAACAGGAUUAGAUACCCCUGUAGUC
rnacentral:rRNA from 1 species